rnacentral:rRNA from 1 species
UACGGAGGGUGCAAGCGUUAAUCGGAAUUACUGGGCGUAAAGCGCACGCAGGCGGUCUGUCAAGUCGGAUGUGAAAUCCCCGGGCUCAACCUGGGAACUGCAUUCGAAACUGGCAGGCUAGAGUCUUGUAGAGGGGGGUAGAAUUCCAGGUGUAGCGGUGAAAUGCGUAGAGAUCUGGAGGAAUACCGGUGGCGAAGGCGGCCCCCUGGACAAAGACUGACGCUCAUGCACGAAAGCGUAGGGAGCAAACAGG